rnacentral:rRNA from 1 species
GUGACUGCGUACCUUUUGUAUAAUGGGUCAGCGACUUAUAUUCUGUAGCAAGGUUAACCGUAUAGGGGAGCCGGAGGGAAACCGAGUCUUAAUUGGGCGUUAAGUUGCAGGGUAUAGACCCGAAACCCGGUGAUCUAGCCAUGGGCAGGUUGAAGGUUGGGUAACACUAACUGGAGGACCGAACCGACUAAUGUUGAAAAAUUAGCGGAUGACCUGUGGCUGGGGGUGAAAGGCCAAUCAAACCGGGAGAUAGCUGGUUCUCCCCGAAAGCUAUUUAGGUAGCGCCUCGUGAAUUCAUCUCCGGGGGUAGAGCACUGUUUCGGCUAGGGGGCCAUCCCGGCUUACCAACCCGAUGCAAACUGCGAAUACCGGAGAAUGUUAUCACGGGAGACACACGGCGGGUGCUAACGUCCGUCGUGAAGAGGGAAACAACCCAGACCGCCAGCUAAGGUCCCAAAGUCAUGGUUAAGUGGGAAACGAUGUGGGAAGGCCCAGACAGCCAGGAUGUUGGCUUAGAAGCAGCCAUCAUUUAAAGAAAGCGUAAUAGCUCACUGGUCGAGUCGGCCUGCGCGGAAGAUGUAACGGGGCUAAACCAUGCACCGAAGCUGCGGCAGCGACACUCAGGUGUUGUUGGGUAGGGGAGCGUUCUGUAAGCCUGUGAAGGUGGCCUGUGAGGGUUGCUGGAGGUAUCAGAAGUGCGAAUGCUGACAUAAGUAACGAUAAAGCGGGUGAAAAGCCCGCUCGCCGGAAGACCAAGGGUUCCUGUCCAACGUUAAUCGGGGCAGG